UGGUUAUUCAAGGAAGUGAACAAUUCGUAGUCGACGUUGAUGAAUGGGCAACAAAGGCACUUCAGAAUGAACUGCUCUGAAAUGUAUACAGGGGUUAAUCCUAUGAGUGCAAGGCUCACCCCAAGAGAAGAAAUAUAGUUUAGUGUAUUCAGAGGCACUUGAGUUGAUGUUUAAAACUGCAAGGAUGGGAAGUUAUGCUAUUGGAAAUGAUAAUGGUACUCUGACCGCCACAAAGUCUGCGACAGUCUGGUGCUAUGGAAACAAGAAGAGGGCAUUUUAGGGAGGGUAGUUUCGAUGAUAGCUUGUAUGGGAAGUAUACCAGAUUAGCUAACUCAGCCACCAGUAGGAGACUUAUGUAAUCUGAUUCAAGAACUUUUUUAAAGAUUCGAGUGAAUAUUUCUUUCUUA